rnacentral:lncRNA from 1 species
ACCCCUGCUCCCAAGCAGAAGAAGCCGAGAUGGCCACUCUGCCUCCCAUCACUGAGUAUGCACUUCAGCCGGCAGAAAGGAGGACAUGGGAAGCGAACACACCCUGUCUUUAUGGAGACUUGGCUGAAGUUGCAGAUCAUUUCUGCUUAUCUGUCUUGGGCCAGAACUUGGUCAUAUGGCCACAUCCAGCUGCAGGGAGAACUGGAAAACAUGGCCUUUAUUUGGAUCAGCUGUAUGCCUAAAUACCAGGACCCUGUUGCUAAGAAGAAGGGGAGGACAAUGAAUCACUUCUAUUGAAUGAAUGAUAAUAAUGGCAGGCCCUAAUUUGAGCCUGGCUUUGUCCAGAACUGCUGU